rnacentral:rRNA from 1 species
UACGGGGGGAGCAAGCGUUGUUCGGAUUUAUUGGGCGUAAAGGGCGCGUAGGCGGUCAGCACAAGUCAGUUGUGAAAUCUCCGGGCUUAACUCGGAAAGGUCAACUGAUACUGUGCGACUAGAGUGCAGAAGGGGCAACUGGAAUUCUCGGUGUAGCGGUGAAAUGCGUAGAUAUCGAGAGGAACACCUGCGGCGAAGGCGGGUUGCUGGGCUGACACUGACGCUGAGGCGCGAAAGCCAGGGGAGCGAACGGG